AAAUAAAAGGAGCACUGUGAUGGGGGAGGUGGCCCCAUGACUGUGAUGGCCAGCAGGCCAGGUGGCCGAGAUGUCACUGGGCAGGCACAACCCCAGACAACAGUCACCAGCGUAAAUACGAGAGGUCUGAACCAGGUCCGGGAGCAGCGACCUAGUGGCUCUUCCCACAAGAGCCCCGUGGUGUGAGAAGCGGGCUAUGCAGAGGC